UUGAGCUAGCGUUAAGCGAAAACUUCCUUAAUAAUAUAAUUAAAGUUUUGCUUCACGCGAUAAAGUGCUAACACAUGAGAAUCUGAGUAUUGAAUGUUAAAUGUCGGAUAGCGGCGGACGGGUGAGUAACGCGUGGGUAACCUGCCUUAUACAGGGGGAUAACACAGGGAAACUUGUGCUAAUACCGCAUAAUAUCAUUGUAUGGCAUCAUAUGAUGAUCAAAGGAGCAAUCCGGUAUAAGAUGGACCCGCGUCCAAUUAGCUAGUUGGUGGUGUAACGGACCACCAAGGCGACGAUUGGUAGCCGAACUGAGAGGUUGAUCGGCCACAUUGGGACUGAGACACGGCCCAGACUCCUACGGGAGGCAGCAGUGGGGAAUAUUGCACAAUGGGGGAAACCCUGAUGCAGCAACGCCGCGUGAAGGAUGAAGGUUUUCGGAUCGUAAACUUCUUUGAUGAGGGACGAAUAAUGACGGUACCUCAAGAACAAGCCACGGCUAACUACGUG
rnacentral:rRNA from 1 species